ACUCAGAAAACUAGUCUAGGGCAGCACCUGUGCCCUGUCCGAAGAGCCUCUUAAUUUUUAAGAUUUUUUUAAGAUAGUCUAUGCCUGUCCUGAAUAUCAGAGCCUAAGGAGAAGGGAUGCUAAUUUUUACUUCCAGAACAUGAAUUUAGUUUUUAGGCAACAAGAGAAGCAUGAUAAGGCUGAGUCUAAGCCUUUUCAGUCGCCUGUUUACUUCCAGUGUGAGAAUAGAAUAUACUAUGAAUCUUUACGCUCCAGGCCACGGUGACAGUUCCCUUGACUUUCCAUGUUUCUUUCCCUGGAAUUAAUGAAAAAGUCCCAUGACUCCUGGCAUUUGGAUGGCCAAAAUGACAUUGAGCAGAAGCCCAGUUUUCCAUGCUAUUAAUAGUAAAUUUAAAAAAAAUUGGUGCUACAGAAACCUAUGGGAGAAGACAAAACUACCAAGGGAAUGCAUGCAAAAUUAACAGAAUGAAGUAGCCAACAGAAUUGUGGACACAGUCAGAGAAUAAUUCCCUCCUGAUAACUGCUGAAGUUAAUAUGUUGACAGCGUGACAGUAGUUGAGGAUAACAAGUAAUUACAAACAAACACUAAAACUAAAAUAAGCAGUUUAUGCAAUGAGA